rnacentral:tRNA from 1 species
GGGGAUAUGGCGAAAUUGGUAGACGCUGCGGACUUAAUAUCCGUUGACUUUAAAAAUCGUGAGGGUUCAAGUCCCUCUAUCCCCA